rnacentral:rRNA from 1 species
UACGUAGGGGCUAGCGUUAUCCGGAAUUACUGGGCGUAAAGGGUGCGUAGGUGGUUUCUUAAGUCAGAGGUGAAAGGCUACGGCUCAACCGUAGUAAGCCUUUGAAACUGGGAAACUUGAGUGCAGGAGAGGAGAGUGGAAUUCCUAGUGUAGCGGUGAAAUGCGUAGAUAUUAGGAGGAACACCAGUUGCGAAGGCGGCUCUCUGGACUGUAACUGACGCUGAGGCACGAAAGCGUGGGGAGCAAACAGGAUUAGAUACCCCGGUAGUCCCUGAGCGGG